UUGAAAGGGAAACGAUUGAAGUCAGUCGUGCUGGCGCGAAAUCAACCUUCUCGUCUUGAGAUCACAUGGCGUGGCGAGCCUCAAAACCGUCACGAAGCGUGAACUCUUGGUGAAAUGGAGCACUUUCGUGUCCGCUGGUUAACAUCAAUUUCGAACGUCAUAAAAAGGCUGGAGGGAUGUGGCUCCUUCGGGAGUGUUAUAACCUUUAGCGGAAUGUGGUGUUCGGGAUUGAGGAUUGCAACGAAUACCUUUAGGGCUGUUCCACCUGGCUUCUCUUUGGUAUCCUGGUGACGACAGCUUGCUGACGUCGUUAGGAUUCGCCUUUGAACAGGCUAGAGUGUGAGCAAAUCGUUAAGGAUGUUGACGUA
rnacentral:rRNA from 1 species